UACGGGGGGGGUAAGCGUUGUUCGGAAUUACUGGGCGUAAAGGGCUCGUAGGCGGCCAACUAAGUCGGACGUGAAAUCCCUCAGCUUAACUGGGGAACUGCGUCCGAUACUGGAUGGCUUGGAUUUGGGAGAGGGAUGCGGAAUUCCUGGUGUGAGCGGUGAAAUGCGCAGAUAUCAGGAGGAACACCGGUGGCGAAGGCGGUGGUCUGGGCCGGAACUGACGCUGAGGAGCGAAAGCGUGGGGAGCGAACAGG
rnacentral:rRNA from 1 species